CUCGUGGUGAGUCCUGGGUAGUUCUAGCCACUGUACCUUUUACACAGUGGUGUGAGCUAGCCGAGAGUUGCACGAUUUGACUGUAAUACCAAAAACUUUAGGACUUGUGCUCAAGCUAAUUAUUCUUUUGACCUGAGACGCUAGGUUUAAUUCAUAGUUUUAACUUUCAAUCGCAGGUAUCUAGAGAGUCAAUUGGUAUCUCUCGUUCUGAGGCGACCAGUUUCUUGGUUCUGACCAACUGAGGUGGGACUGAGUAACUGAAUAGAUAUUUUUUACUAGCCGCUUGCCUUACAGUUGCAGGUGCAGACGUAUUUUUUUUUGUACACGGUCGUGAAAUCCUCCGUUAAUUGUUUCUACUUUGCAAUUGAACAUAAUAUUGUGUAUGUAUCCCAGUCAAUCAACUACCAAAACCGACAAAUUAAAAAAAAAACUUGUAGUUUUGAUAUUUGUUCAAAAUGUUCUUUGGACCUUCCCCUUGAACAUAUCCAAAUUUCAAAACAAUAAGUUUUUUAUACUUUAACCUAGAUUGGCUAAUGGGCGAAUGACGACAAAAUGCAUUUCUGGCAAAAAGAUACAUAAGAACGAUUUUGAAAAAUAUUUCAUGUUCUGCCGAGUAUGCAGUUUUGUAUCUCAAAUUCAAAAAGGUCUAAAAAUCAUUUCUUUAGUAAGGGUCGUCACAUUCCAAUGAACUGGCGUAUUGAUCAAGACCAGUAGCAAUGAAUCUGAAUAACGGAGCCACCACAAACAAACACCGACAACCAAAGAUCUCCCAAUAUUGUUUAUACCUCAAAUUCAAGGAAGUCUAGAAUGUAUUUAAGGCUUUCUCAAGAAAUCGGUCCCUUGGUUCCAGUUGAUAGUUGAUCAAAAUAACGUUGCGACAGCCACCGACAAGAGACGCUGACGAUCAAAAAUCUUGGCAUGAGGUUUGGAUAACGCAUCACUGUUAGUAAACUAUGGAAGAACCACAAUCCAGGCCACACAGUACAGCCGACUAAUAUGGAAAGUGCUUCACUUGAUAUGGCAGUUAAUGUUGUUUGCUUUGAGUGCCCGUAAUCCAGAGUUUGUU